GACGAACCGUGCGAACGUUGUUCGGAAUCACUGGGCUUAAAGGGCGCGUAGGCGGUCUGCCAAGUCCGGGGUGAAAGCCCCCAGCUCAACUGGGGAAGUGCCUUGGAUACUGGCGGACUCGAGGGAGGCAGGGGUAGUGGGAACUUCCGGUGGAGCGGUGAAAUGCGUUGAUAUCGGAAGGAACGCCGGUGGCGAAAGCGCACUACUGGUCCUCUUCUGACGCUGAGGCGCGAAAGCCAGGGGAGCAAACGGG
rnacentral:rRNA from 1 species